GUCUGGUGGCGAUGGCGAGAAGGUCACACCCGUUCCCAUACCGAACACGGAAGUUAAGCUUCUCAGCGCCGAUGGUAGUUGGGGGUUUCCCCCUGUGAGAGUAGGACGCCGCCGGG
rnacentral:rRNA from 1 species